UUUGUCAGUAGUUUGUAGAGCCAGGUAUAUUGAAUGCCGACAUUGUUUAAAUACACCAUGCCGAGUGACGCUAGGUGUCGAUACAUGUGUUUAUUAGGUAAGACGGCCAGUAAUACUAUUGCAACGAGGGACUUGUUAUGGAAGUACGCGGAAGCUAAAUAAUGGCGGCUAGACCAAAACGUGACAGCGUACAGCCACCACAGCCAUCUGAAGAUGCUCCGUCUACCUCCACGAAUCAGACGACAAAUGAGAAUCAGCCGUCUGAAAUAUUCGAACACGUCACAGUCUAUACGAUAUGUUCAGGCUGUGGCAAUGAGUGCAUGACAAAGAUUCAGUACGACAGCGGAAACCUCACCUGGAGUUUGUGCUUCAUUGUGGCCCUGUCAGGAUGGUGUCUCGGAUGCUGCCUGCUGCCAUUUUGCUUUAAAAAAACAAAAGACGUUCUACAUGUUUGUCCAGACUGUCAAUACAUAAUAGCACGUUAUAACAAAAUGUGACAACUUUUGGCCUGUCUCUUCUCCUGUUACCUCUACUCCGUCAGGCUGAAGUAAACUACCCGCCUGUGAUGCUGCCUCAUCAAAAGUGUGUCGAAUGUGUGCCUAAAGUUCGUCAACAUCGAGUUAAAUACAUAACUACUCCCACUAUACUCCAUCCAAAUAGAUUUGAGUACAUAACGACUACUCCGUCCACAUUGAGUUCAGUACAUAACGACUACUCCGUCCACAUUGAGUUCAGUACAUAACGACUACUCCGUCCACAUUGAGUUAAGUACAUAACAACUACUCCGUCCACAUAGAGUUAAGUAAUUAAACAAUCCCUCCACCAUCACUGAUCAAGUGAAUAAGUACAUAACGACUACUCUGACAACAUAGAAUUUAGUACAUAUUUAAACAACUACUUCUUCCACAUUGAGUUAAAUAUAUAAUGAUUCCUUCAUCCACAUUGAGUUAAACAUAACACGAUUCCUUCAUCCACAUUGAGUUAAACAUAACACGAUUCCUUCAUCCACAUUGAGUAACUACAUAACGCCUUCUUCAAGCCAUCUACGUUGAGUUAUGUACAUAAUUUCUUCUCCCUCAACAUUGAAUUAAUACAUAACGACUCUACCAUGUACAUUGAGUUAAGUACAUAACGACUACUUCGUCCACAUUGAGUUAGAUAAUAAACUACUACUCCGUCCACAUUGAGUUAGAUAAUUAACUACUACUCCGUACACAUUGAGUUUAAUACAUUGAGUUAAGUACAUAACGACUACUCCGUCCACAUUGAGUUAAGUACAUAACUUCUACUCCGUCCAGAUAGAGUUAGGUACAUAACGACAACUCCGUCCAGAUAGAGUUAGGUACAUAACUUCUACUCCGUCCAGAUAGAGUUAGGUACAUAACGACAACUCCGUCCAGAUAGAGUUAGGUACAUAACGACUACUCCGUCCACAUUAAGUUAAGUACAGAACGACUACUCCAUACACAUUGAGUUAAGUACAUAACGACUACUCCGUCCAGAUAGAGUUAGGUACAUAACGACUACUCCGUCCAGAUAGAGUUAGGUACAUAACGACUACUUUGUCCACAUUGAGUUAGGUACAUAACGACUACUCCAUACACAUUUAGUUAAGUACGGAACGACUACUCAGUCAGAAAGACGAUUGUUUAUGGUUCAUAAAUAUUUAUGGUGCACAUACACUGCAUUUCUAUUUCCUACCAAACCUGCAAUUGGCCCACUCAAAGAUAUGUUUCCAAAAGAGCUUGCUCACUUAACAGUCAUUUUAUAUCAUUAUAAAUUCCACUAUACCAAAUUAUUUGCAGAUGCAAAUGAUGUUUUAUCUAUAACUUCAAUAUUUUGUUUUUCAAUUUCACAUCGGUCGUAAGUUCUUUUAAAUAAAGUGUUAAUGAAGCUACAAUGUAACACGUCUGAAAAUAAUGGGAUAAAUUAUGUAUUUCUCAAACUGUUAUUUUAUAUCGUACUUAAAUUUCGCUACACGCUGGCAUCAAUUCAUCCCGAUAGCAACAUUAUCGGAGCUCGAGCCAAGCUCGAGUUUAUAGUCUGACAUGCCUAGAUUGAUUAUUAUAUUACCGUUUUAGACUUCAUACUGGCUAUCGGUCUAGCCUUUAUUCACGUUUUACACUAGGUCAGGUUUAAAUUCCCACCUACAAACCCAACUACGUCCAUAUUUAUUUAUAUGGCUUAUGUAGGCAAAUGUCUCCUUAUCCUAAACUAAUUAUUUAUAUUAUAAAAACUGUACUCUUGUCUAGUUUUCUCUUUUGGAGGGUUACUUCCCUUGACACAUGUAAUCAAAAUAUGGACCGUGAAUUGGGAAUUCGUGCCAAAACUCUACCUUAUCGGUCUUAAAGAGUUAGCUGUGUUAAUGUUAAAGUGAUCACAUGGUGUAUUUGUUUUAUAAAUCAUUUGGUAUCUAUCUAGAUAUGUAUUAUACACAAACUGAUUUCACAAUAAAUCAUGAAACAUGUA